UUGUCUCAAAGAUUAAGCCAUGCAUGUCUCAGUACAUACCGUUUUAUAUGGUGAAACCGCGAAAGGCUCAUUAAAUCAGUUAUGGUUCCUUAGAUCGUACCACAUUUACUUGGAUAACUGUGGUAAUUCUAGAGCUAAUACAUGCAAACAGAGCUCCAACCGGAGACGGGAGGAGUGCUUUUAUUAGAUCAAAACCAAUUGUGUCAUCCCUAGUUUGGCUCUAUAUGAUUCUGUGCCUUUUGCGUACGUUCAUAUAUCCCGGGUGUAUGUUACACAUCAUAUUAUUGGUGAAUCUGAAUAACUUGCUGAUCGCAUGGUCUUGUACCGGCGACGCAUCUUUCAAAUGUCUGCCUUAUCAACUUUCGAUGGUAGGAUCUGCGCCUACCAUGGUUGUAACGG
rnacentral:rRNA from 1 species